rnacentral:lncRNA from 1 species
AGGAGUCCCACUGGCUGGCCAAUCAGAAUCUCUCGGUCAGAGGCGUCUUCCCUGAGAACUUCACCCAGCGGUGCUAAGCUGGCCUCCGCACCUCCGCAGACGAACACACACACACCCCUCUCACACACACCCCUCUCUCACACACACCUGUCUCUCACACACACCUCUCUCACACACCCCUCUCUCACACACACCCCUCUCUCACACACACCCCUCUCACACACACCCCUCUCUCACACACCUGUCUCUCACACACCCCUCUCUCACACACCCCUCUCUCACACACACCUGUCUCUCACACACACCUGUCUCUCACACCCCUCUCACACACCCCUCUCACACACACCCCUCUCUCACACACACCCCUCUCUCACACACCUGUCUCUCACACACCCCUCUCACACACACCCCUCUCUCACACACCUGUCUCUCACACACCCCUCUCACACACCCCUCUCACACACCUGUCUCUCACACACCUGUCUCUCACACACCCCUCUCUCACACACACCUGUCUCACACACCCCUCUCUCACACACCCCUCUCUCACACACCCCUCUCUCACACACCUGUCUCUCACACACCCCUCUCUCACACACCCCUCUCACACACACCCCUCUCUCACACACACCCCUCUCUCACACACACCUCACUCACACACACCUGUCUCACACACACCUGUCUCACACACACCUGUCUCACACACACCUGUCUCACACACACCCCUCUCACACACACACCUGUCUCACACACACACCUGUCUCUCACACACCCCUCUCUCACACACCCCUCUCACACACACACCCCUCUCACACACACACCUGUCUCUCACACACCCCUCUCUCACACACCCCUCUCUCACACACACCUGUCUCACACACCUGUCUCUCACACACCUGUCUCUCACACACCCCUCUCUCACACACACCUGUCUCUCCUUUCCUCCCUCCCUCCGUCCCUCUCUCUCUCUCUCUCCCUAAUUUAUCCUCUGGACUGGUUUCUCGUCAUGUGAAUGUCUACUAA